GAUUUUGGAGGAAGGAAGAUGCUUUAAUCGGUUGGUGAUGGUUUUGAUGGAUAGUUUUGUCUCCUCUGCGAUAUCUUCAGAUCAUGAGGCACCAGGUGGGAGGCUGACAUCAGUGUUCGUGGUUAUGCUGGUUGGAACUGGUCGUUUGCCUUGAAGGUCUUCCCAAAGUUUAUCUUGAACUUGAAGGAUGCCUUUGCUCUGUCGUCUUCGUCGGUUCCUCUUACCUCUUUGACGAAAGGUCCCCUCUUUCCCUUUUAUUUUAUUUUAGUGUUAUUAGAUCAGUUAAUGUCUCUCUUUGAUGCAGAUUACGAGGAACCAGGAUUGCUGUGUGGGAGGUUCGGAGAGAAAGAAAAAACAUUGUGGGAGUGCGUUUGAUUUCUGAGUUUAACUUUCAGAUCGUGAAGGCACCGGGAGGACUGAUAUGAUAAAUCUAACCUCUGGUCUGUCAUCUCUUUUUAAGAUAUUAUCUUGAAGGAUGUCUUUGAUCUGUCGUUGCUCCAUGUUGCCUCUUUGACAGUCUCCUCUUUCCCUUUGUUAUAUUCUUACUGAUCAGCUAAUGUUUUUCUUUGCUUGUGUUAGAUCGUGGAGGUUACGGACCUUGUUGGAGGGAAUGAUGGUUUGAGAGUAUAUAACUUCGAGUCUUCGAGUUUCUUGUUACUUCACAUCUAUACUAAUGUGUUUCUAGGGUUUGGUUUUAAAUAUUGCAUAGGUUGCUAAGGAGUGAGGAGUGAGUCUGAUCUGAGCUUUCGGUAUUGAUAAGAGGUGGGCGUUGAUUGAUUUAUU